rnacentral:rRNA from 1 species
UCGGGAAUAUUGCGGCAAUGGAGGAAACUCUGACGCAGUGACGCCGCGUGCAGGAAGAAGGUUUUCGGAUUGUAAACUGCUUUAGACAGGGAAGAAAAAGACAGUACCUGUAGAAUAAGCUCCGGCUAACUACGUGCCAGCAGCCGCGGUAAUACGUAGGGAGCAAGCGUUAUCCGGAUUUAUUGGGUGUAAAGGGUGCGUAGACGGAGAGGCAAGUUAGUUGUGAAAUCCCUCGGCUUAACUGAGGAACUGCAACUAAAACUACUUCCCUUGAGUACUGGAGAGGAAAGUGGAAUUCCUAGUGUAGCGGUGAAAUGCGUAGAUAUUAGGAGGAACACCAGUGGCGAAGGCGACUUUCUGGACAGCAACUGACGCUGAGGCGCGAAAGCCAGGGGA